rnacentral:rRNA from 1 species
GGCUCAUUACAACAGCCGUUGUUUCUUGGAUCUUAUUUUACUUGGAUAACUGUGGUAAUUCUAGAGCUAAUACAUGCAAAUCAUCUCCAACCACUGGAAGGAGUGCAUUUAUUAUACGAAAACCAAUCAGGCUUGCCUGAAGCUUGGUGACUCUGAAUAACUAUGCUGAUCACAUAGUCUUAGCACUGGUGACAUUUCUUUCAAGUGUCUGCCCUAUCAACUUUCGAUGGUAGUUUAUGUGCCUACCAUGGUUGUAACGGGUAACGGAGAAUAAGGGUUCGACUCCGGAGAGGGAGCCUGAGAAAUGGCUACCACAUCCAAGGAAGGCAGCAGGCGCGCAAAUUACCCACUCUCAGAUCGAGGAGGUAGUGACGAAAAAUAACGAGAUGGUUCUCUUUGAGGCCCAUCAUCGGAAUGGGUACAAUUUAAACCCUUUAACGAGGAUCUAUUGGAGGGCAAGUCUGGUGCCAGCAGCCGCGGUAAUUCCAGCUCCAAUAGCAUAUGCCAAUUCUGCUGCUGUUAAAACGCUCGUAGUUGGAUCUUUUCCAAGGUUCCAGUCUGUCUCAAGGACAUGUACUGGUUUCCAAGGAUAAUUCAGCUGGUCUUCUCAUGGUGCUCUUCAUUGAGUGCUAUGGGUGGCUAGCAAAUUUACUUUGAAAAAAUUAGAGUGCUCAAAACAGGCGUUUCUGCCCGAAUAGUGGUGCAUGGAAUAAUGGAAUAGGAUCUCGGUUCUAUUUUGUUGGUUUUAGGAGUGCGAGAUAAUGAUUAAGAGAGACAGAUGGGGGCAUUCGU